rnacentral:rRNA from 1 species
UACGUAGGGUGCAAGCGUUAAUCGGAAUUACUGGGCGUAAAGCGUGCGCAGGCGGUGAUGUAAGACAGAUGUGAAAUCCCCGGGCUCAACCUGGGAACUGCAUUUGUGACUGCAUCGCUGGAGUGCGGCAGAGGGGGAUGGAAUUCCGCGUGUAGCAGUGAAAUGCGUAGAUAUGCGGAGGAACACCGAUGGCGAAGGCCAAUCCCCUGGGCCUGCACUGACGCUCAUGCACGAAAGCGUGGGGAGGCAA